GUCUUAAAGGGUCGGCUAAAAACAACAGCCUUUAAGAUACAAGUGCUACUGUGGGAUAGUUGAUGUAACAGCACACAAAUCGGUGGCGAAGCUAGUGCCGAUUCAACGAACGACUGGCGGGU
ncrna:unclassified sequences Betaproteobacteria-1 RNA